UAAGCAUUGUGAAAUGAUAUAUAUAUGUAUAUAUUUAAUGGAUUGAUUGAUGUGUGUGUGUGUGUGAUAGAGAGAGAGAGAGGGAGAGACCACCUGUUGCCACUCCCAAGCAGAGAUGCUGUCAGCAUUCUGAAGAUUACAACACUGGCCGUCUGGAACCUCAUUGGCGUGUCUUCAUUUGGAUUGUCCAUGCUCAUUACAACGUGGACUGCUCUCCAUACACAUCUCUCAAGAUGAGCAGUGUUCUGUUGAUAUGACAAGAGAGGUGGUCAUCCGCUGCAUGAUAGAAUUCCUUGGGGAAAAUGCAGGAG